GAUGAACGCUGGCGGCGUGCCUAAUACAUGCCAGUCGAGCGAACAGACGAGGAGCUUGCUCCUCUGACGUUAGCGGCGGACGGGUGAGUAACACGUGGAUAACCUACCUAUAAGACUGGGAUAACUUCGGGAAACCGGAGCUAAUACCGGAUAAUAUAUUGAACCGCAUGGUUCAAUAGUGAAAGACGGUUUUGCUGUCACUUAUAGAUGGAUCCGCGCCGCAUUAGCUAGUUGGUAAGGUAACGGCUUACCAAGGCAACGAUGCGUAGCCGACCUGAGAGGGUGAUCGGCCACACUGGAACUGGGACACGGUCCAGACUCCUACGGGAGGCAGCAGUAGGGACUCUUCCGCAAUGGGCGAAAGCCUGACGGAGCAACGCCGCGUGAGUGAUGAAGGUCUUCGGAUCGUAAAACUCUGUUAUUCGGGAAGAACAAAUGUGUAAGUAACUAUGCACGUCUUGACGGUACCUAAUCAGAAAGCCACGGCUAACUACGUG
rnacentral:rRNA from 1 species